CAAGAAAAUGAAGGCGUAAAGAAAAAUCUGGAAAAGGCAAUGGUUGCUUUCCUUCCACGAAGGCCUGAACUUGACUCUCCUCCCGAUAACACUGAAAAUAUCCAUGCAAAUAUAAGAGCAGGAAUGAGUGACAUCUCCCAAUCAAAAGAAGCCAACAAUGAUUUUCCCUUUAAAAACCUACAAUGAAUGCAAAUUGUGGAUAGGUUUCAACAGAAGAAGGUCAAGAAUAAUGCUUUUGCG
rnacentral:lncRNA from 11 species